CUCACGGGGCCAAGACGACACAAGGACAAGCAAUCCCCCGGGUAUAUAAUCGACCUCCUGUUCAUCUUCUCUCCAGUUGUCUCGCCUCCUCACCUCGAGCUCCUUCGCCUCCUUCGUCGCCGCCUCCGAAGACAUCAUGAAGUUCCUGUACAUCGUGCUCCUGUGCCUCGUGGCAGUCGCUGCGGCCAGAAACUGGUACAGCUUCGACCUGGACGACGACGACUUCUACAGACCCGCCCGCAGGUCGUGGAAGGCCGUGGGCGGGUGGAGAGCGGCUUCGGCUCCGUCCAAACGCUUCUACUUCGACAGCGACGAGGAUUCGGACAGUUACGAGGACUAGGGGCUAUGGCUUCGACUUAGAAAGUAAUUUAAUUCCUUAAGUCAAGCCUCAGUCUUUUUUCUUCUAUUUUUCUUCUUCCUCGUUUAUUACUUCUUCUCCUUUUCCUUUCUCUUCGUUUCCUCUUCAUCGCCCCCGGAGGUCAUCAGCUUCAACAUAGGUGUUGGCUUACAAAAUGAGCUCAUAUUAAUCUCUAAUAAUUAAUUAAAGUUUAUUCUUUGAGUUA